rnacentral:rRNA from 1 species
AUACGUAGGUGGCAAGCGUUGUCCGGAAUUAUUGGGCGUAAAGCGCAUGUAGGCGGUAAUUUAAGUCUGUCGUGAAACUGCGGGGCUCAGCCCCGUAUGGCGAUGGAAACUGGGUUACUUGAGUGCCGGAGAGGAAAGGGGAACUCCCAGUGUAGCGGUGAAAUGCGUAGAUAUUGGGAAGAACACCGGUGGCGAAGGCGCCUUUCUGGACUGUGUCUGACGCUGAGAUGCGAAAGCCAGGGUAGCGAACGGGAUUAGAUACCCCGGUAGUCCUGGCCGUAAACGAUGGGUACUAGGUGUGGGAGGUAUCGACCCCUUCCGUGCCGGAGUUAACGCAAUAAGUACCCCGCCUGGGGAGUACGGCCGCAAGGCUUAAACUCAAAUGAAUUGACGGGG